GACAGAUGUCCCCGUCCUCUGAAGAUCUCCCCAUCCCCCGCCAGGAUCAGAGCGGAGACCUCGGGGAUUAUAAUAUUGUUGUGAAAGAAGAAUAUAAAGAGGAGGAUGAGGAGUACGGGGUGAUGGGGGAACCUUCUGAAGGACA